UAAAAGGAUGCCACAACUUUUAGAGAGAAAUUAUCUUCUACGGUGUGUGAGGGAGACGAAGAAUUGUAAAGAAUUAAUAUAUGAUAAAAUCUAAACUGAAUGAACAGUAGCUUAAUAUUAGGUUUAAAAGGUUGACAAGAGAGAGAGAGCGCCCUCUUCGCUGCUUCUGGUCACAAAGAGAAGAAAGAUCUGGAAGGAAAGGAGAGAGGCCCGGCACGGCGGCGUGCGGCCAGGCUGUGCCGGAGCAAAGGCGGCACAAAGAGAAAAGAGAGAGCACCGCUUCUGGUCACAAAGAGAAGAAAGAUCAAAGAUCUGGAAGGAGAGAGGCCCGGCACGGCAGCGCGCGGCCAGGCUGUGGCGGAGCAAAGGCGGCAAUACCGAUUUCCUUCGAGUGCACGGUUGGGAUUAAGUAAACAGAAGACAAAGAAGCUUAUGGUAGCAUCGGUUAGGUCACAGAAGCGGUCGUCAUGGUCAUACAAGAAGAACAAAAGCGCAUACGGUAGUCGCACAUCAAGCAGACAAUGCCGGAUGUGGAGUCGACUGUGGUUUUAGUGUACAGCCGUAAUCAGUAGCGGAAACCAUCAUCUCAGAUGAGUUUACCAAGACUGACAGUGGCGGCUAUGUUUGGGUACCAAAUACUUAGGCCUUGGCGAAGUUAUAUGAUCCGAAAUAAGUAUGCAAUCAAGAAAGAACAUACUUGCUAUAAGUGUUGGUAUUUGAUGUCCUGUAACUGAUGGAUUUUUUAAUGGAAAAAAAUCACGCAAACUUUUGAAGCUCAUUAUCAACAAAACAGAUAUUGUCAUGUUUUAAUGUUAAUUAGAGUGUAGUUUAAGUUGACAUUAAAUACAUUAUUUGCUUGGUUUUUAGAGGUUUGAAGAUAUCGGUUGACAGAGCGCGCGAAGACAUCAUCUCCACCUUAUUCAAUUGGAUUAAUUGGUUUUUAGAGGUUUGAAGAGAUCGGUUGAUAGAGCGCGCAAAGACAUCAUCUCCUCCUUAUUCGAUUGGAUUAAUCACAUGUCUAAAAAUAUGGUUAGGGCUGGACUUGGUGGAUCGAGAGAUGCAGAUGUUAUUAGAGAGAAACAGAGUCCAAGAUUGACAAUCGUGACUGUUACAGGGAGAGAUGCAAAUGUCUAUAGAGAGAAAGAAGAGUCUGAGAGGGAGUGAGGGCUGACCACUGCCCCAAUGGCGGAGUACAGCGACACCUGAUUCCAGCGCGUCUAUGACCCCAACUGGCAGAACAAUCAUUGAGGGCUUAAGAGAGAGAGGUUGUGUAGAUGACGACCAUGACGAGGCCCAAGUCAGACCACAUUCUGGUAAGAUCCGUACCAGAGAUCGUUCGUUUCUGGCCGAUGAACCAUUAUGUGGAUGGAUCCGAUCAUCGGCGGAAUCAAGCAACUCUUGGGCCACGUUCUAAAUCAUUGGUUGACAGGCUCAGAACUAUCACCGCACCGCCAUCCGUUUGACCAAGAAUCAAAGAUUCACUAUAUAAGUGAAAUUGUUCAUCGAGUUUACAUCUGUUUCAUAUUUUAGGGUUUAUUUUACAUUUGUUUCAAUUUUAGGGUUUUGAGUUUCAGUUCACAAAGCAACUUGAAUUGAAGAUAACACGGAAUAAGGUAAAGAUUACUUUAACCAUCAACAUUCAGAGUCUUUUGCAUACAAUCUGAGUUAAUAACUGGAGAAUUUGUUCAAAGGGUAAUGGAUAAAGAGAGGUUAUCCGAUAUCUCUUUUCAAUUACUUAAACCGAUGCUAAUUACAAGUGUUGCUUUUUCUUGUAAGAGGUGAACCUGCAAGACAGCACCACGCGAUUUCAUUAUACAGCACCAUGCUGAAAGUAUGAAAUGAGUGAAUUAUUCUCCAAGCUAGAAAGGCAUAGUAUAAAGCUUUUCUUAUGCAAUUUAAUGCCAAUAAGGGGGGUACAACUCUGACCCAAUGAGAAGCCUCUUCCUGUGCGUUAUGAUUCAGAGAAAAUGGACUAAAAGCGCGUAUCACAGAAAAUGAAGCUAGCUAUAACCAAAGUUGGUAUCAUGACUCCUGCUCAAAAUGUAAAUACAGAGGUUUGAAGAGAUCGGUUGAUAGAGCGCGCGAAGGCAUCAUCUCCUCCUUAUUCAAUUGGAUUAAUCACAGGUCUAAAAAUAUGGUUAGGGGCUGGACUUGGUGGAUCACUCUGGCAUCCCUUGUGUAUCAUGUAGUUUUGUUAUGUAUCUUUUUUCUCUUCCUGUAUCCAGCUCGCUGGAGGCCUUUUGGCUUUUUUGUUUUUAAUGCUUUGUCGUUCUUAAAAAAAAGUCAGCAAAUGGGUAUGAAGUGAUGAAUUACUAUUAUAACUUGAUAUACAAUCAAACAGUUUCACUUAAAUUUGA